GUGUCAGCCGCCGCGGUAAUACGGAGGGUGCAAGCGUUAAUCGGAAUUACUGGGCGUAAAGGGCGCGUAGGCGGUUUGGUAAGCGAGUUGUGAAAGCCCCGGGCUCAACCUGGGAAUGGCAAUUCGAACUGCCAGGCUAGAAUGCAGCAGAGGGCAGUGGAAUUCCAGGUGUAGCGGUGAAAUGCGUAGAUAUCCGGAGGAACACCAGUGGCGAAGGCGACUGCCUGGGCUGACAUUGACGCUGAGGUGCGAAAGCGUGGGUAGCAAACAG
rnacentral:rRNA from 1 species